UAAUACGAAGGGGGCUAGCGUUGUUCGGAAUUACUGGGCGUAAAGCGCACGUAGGCGGGCUAUUAAGUCAGGGGUGAAAUCCCGGAGCUCAACUCCGGAACUGCCUUUGAUACUGGUAGUCUAGAGAUCGGAAGAGGUUAGUGGAAUUCCCAGUGUAGAGGUGAAAUUCGUAGAUAUUGGGAAGAACACCAGUGGCGAAGGCGGCUAACUGGUCCGAUACUGACGCUGAGGUGCGAAAGCGUGGGGAGCAAACAGG
rnacentral:rRNA from 1 species